rnacentral:sRNA from 1 species
AGUGGUCAGGUGGGGGUGUGAGAAGAGCAAGUUUCCGUGUACAUCCUUGGCCAAGGACAUGAGCGACCUGCUUCUCGGGCUGGCUUGGCUUUGGCUUGGUGAAGGUGUACUGAUCGAUGUCGGCAGUGAGGAGGAUUUUGUGGAGAUCGUAGUGGGGGACAUAGUAGUAUUCCCCCCAAGGGCAUUAGCUGUGUACUUGGGAUGUCACCAAGCCCAUGGACAAGCUCUAACUUGAG